rnacentral:lncRNA from 1 species
CCCCGCUACUGAGCACGCGCAACGUCCCUACAGAUGCAGCCAAUCAGAAUCCGCCCUGUACUAGGCCAGCAGCUUGCGUGCGGUUGUGCCGUGUGAAGCCCGAGUGAGUGACAGGGUUUGAGUUCAGAGCCUCCGCCUCCUUGGCCCAGAACCUCCCUACAGCUGGGGUGCCUCAGCUUCCUGGUGGUCUCGCCUGCUGGGAUCCAGUCCUACCUGCUGUGCCCAUGCACUGCUGGGAGAUCGGGAUCUGGAGCUUGGAGUUACCUGCUGUGGUCCUACAGUUAACAGCUACAAACUGGAUAUCCUGAGACAAGUCACUCUAUACAUAUUUGCUGAAGAUGAUUUGCUGGUAGGAAAUGCUAAUAGAAGACAGUUUUCAAGCAACUAUGAAGAUACCAGUACCAGCAACUUCACAUUUUAAAAUCCACAAAUUUACAAUGAUGGAGGCAAAACUGUCUGUCAUCUCACUCUUACACAAGGUUUAUUCUGCUAGAUUUAUUAUCCGGACACAGAGAGAAGAGCUCCGACAUAACUCAUCCAAAAGCUAGAAUGGAAAAUAAUUGUUUCCUGUCUUGCACUCCAUCAUGCCACAUCUUUCAAUAAAAUAGUGAAAGAGGUACUAAAUCA